CCCUACGGGGGCGCGAGGCGAGCAGGCCGCCGCCCAGAAUCUGGGCGGCGAUGCCGCCGAGCAGGACGCUGAGGGCGGCGGCGGCCAGGAUGGCCGGCACGGGCCAGGCGGUCCAGUUGCCCAGCAGCCGGGCGACGCCGACGCCGAGCAGGCCCAGGCACAUCCAGAUGAUGACGCGGGCGGUGAGGCUGUAGUGCUCGCGCUUGCGCAGCCAGCGUUCGCCCAGGGCGAGGAGGCGGGGCUGGCGCUCGGGAUCCAGGCGGCGCAGCCGGCCACCGGUGAGGCCGAUCAGGAGGCUGAGCACGCCCAUGGUCCAGACCGCGCCGGCAAAACCGACGAGGAUGGCGGCAAGGUCCCAGUAGAGGUCGGGGCUCAUGGGCGGCUCCGGGCGUGGGCGGGGGAGC
rnacentral:rRNA from 1 species